rnacentral:sRNA from 1 species
GUAAGAGGCCAAAGGGCAUGAUCAUUUUCCUCUUUCACCCUGUCUAGGUUGCCAGCAAAUCCCACGGGCCUCCUGACGCUGCCCCUGGGGCCACAGGUCCCUCGAGUGCUGGAAGGAUGAAGGAUUCCUGCAUCACCGUGAUGGCCAUGGCGCUGCUGUCUGGGUUCUUUUUCUUCGAGAGGCCAAACGGGAAGUUGUGUCCUCAGGCCCUGGGAAGAGCUUUCAGAGCUCUAGGGGGGCCGGGAGUUGCUCCUUCCAUAUUCCCAGAAGUCAACGCCCUGGAGGGGAAGCGCAGGCGCCGGCCUCGAGCUACAACCUGGACGUGCGGGGCGCGCGGAGCUUCUCCCCACCGCGCGCCGGGAGGCACUUUGGAUACCGCGUCCUGCAGGUCGGAAACGGGGUCAUCGUGGGAGCUCCAGGGGAGGGGAACAGCACAGGAAGCCUCUAUCAGUGCCAGUCGGGCACAGGACACUGCCUGCCAGUCACCCUGAGAGGU